CCUACGGGAGGCAGCAGUGAGGAAUAUUGGUCAAUGGGCGGAAGCCUGAACCAGCCAAGUAGCGUGCAGGAUGACGGCCCUACGGGUUGUAAACUGCUUUUAUAUGGGAAUAACGUGCCUUACGUGUACGGCUUUGCAUGUACCGUAUGAAUAAGGACCGGCUAACUCCGUGCCAGCAGCCGCGGUAAUACGGAGGGUCCGGGCGUUAUCCGGAUUUAUUGGGUUUAAAGGGAGCGUAGGCCGCCUGUCAAGCGAGGUGUGAAAGGUCCGGGCUCAACCCGGGCCUUGCAGCGCGAACUGGGGGGCUUGAGUCCGGGGGAGGCAGGCGGAAUUCGUCGUGUAGCGGUGAAAUGCUUAGAUAUGACGAAGAACCCCGAUUGCGAAGGCAGCUUGCUGCAGCGGAACUGACGCUGAUGCUCGAAAGCGCGGGUAUCGAACAGGAUUAGAUACCCGAGUAGUC
rnacentral:rRNA from 1 species